CUGCGUUCUCCACCCGUGUGCCCAGGCAGGACGCUGCGGAGCGGUUGGAAGAGGCUCUGAAAACCAACAAGGAAAAUGGCAGCCCAGAUGAAGACAUGGCUGUUACUUGUGUGUGGCGUUGUCCUGCUGCGAGCCGGUGACCCUGUCAGAAUUGAAGCAGAUGAAGGUGAAGACGUGCUCCUGCCCUGCAUUGUCAAACGUAGAGACGCUGACCGUCUUCCAAAGCCUACGGUGAACUGGCAGCGGUCAGGGAGUGAAGUUGUGAACAGCUACUACGAUGGCAAGAACCAUCCAGUGUAUCAGUCUGGACGAUAUAAGGGGAGAACGGAGUUCACUUCUCAGGGAUUGUCUGAGGGCAAUGCGUCUCUGCUACUGAAGAAUGUAACCCCCGCUGACUUUGGGAACUACACCUGUCAUGCUAGUUUAUAUGAGAACGCUCCCCAAACUUUACAAACUGUCCUGCUGAUGCAGAAAAAGACCCAGGGUGCAAACGUGCCAGGAGGACCUGAAAACCAACUCUACUUUCUAAUCUUUGUCCCAUUGAGCACACUUGUAUUUGGGGGUUCUCUAUGGUACUGUCGGUGGAAAAAGAAGACUACGAAGUCUGAAGCAGGUAUGUGCAAUAGUAUGUGACACAAGGCUUUUUAAAAAUGAAUUUUCAUUACAA
rnacentral:lncRNA from 1 species